GGGGAUUUAGCUCAGCGGCAUAAGCGCCUGCCUUGCAAGCAGGAAGUCGUGAGUUCGAUCCCUG
rfam:Cavia porcellus supercont2_41 genomic scaffold, whole genome shotgun sequence.